AGCGAACGCUGGCGGCAGGCCUAACACAUGCAAGUCGAACGAACCCUUCGGGGUUAGUGGCGGACGGGUGAGUAACACGUGGGAACGUGCCUUUAGGUUCGGAAUAACUCAGGGAAACUUGUGCUAAUACCGAAUGCGCCCUUCGGGGGAAAGAUUUAUCGCCUUUAGAGCGGCCCGCGUCUGAUUAGCUAGUUGGUGAGGUAAUGGCUCACCAAGGCUACGAUCAGUAGCUGGUCUGAGAGGAUGGCCAGCCACAUUGGGACUGAGACACGGCCCAAACUCCUACGGGAGGCAGCAGUGGGGAAUCUUGCGCAAUGGGCGAAAGCCUGACGCAGCCAUGCCGCGUGGAUGAUGAAGGUCUUAGGAUUGUAAAAUCCUUUCACCGGUGAAGAUAAUGACUGUAGCCGGAGAAGAAGCCCCGGCUAACUUCGUGCCAGCCGCCGCUGUAACAC
rnacentral:rRNA from 1 species